AGAGUUUGAUUAUGGCUCAGGAUGAACGCUAGCUACAGGCUUAACGCAUGCAAGUCGAGGGGCAGCGAGAGAAAGCUUGCUUCUUGUCGGCGACCGGCGCACGGGUGAGUAACGCGUAUCCAACCUUCCCCAUAGUAGGGAAUAGCCCGGCGAAAGUCGGAUUAAUGCCCUAUGUUGUAUUAUGAGGACAUCUGAUUAAUACCAAAGAUUUAUCGCUAUGGGAUGGGGAUGCGUCUGAUUAGGUAGUUGGCGGGGUAACGGCCCACCAAGCCGACGAUGAUUAGGGGUCCUGAGAGGGUUAACCCCCACACUGGAACUGAGACACGGUCCAGACUCCUACGGGAGGCAGCAGUAGGGAAUAUUGGGCAAUGGAGGCAACUCUGACCCAGCCAUGCCCGCGUGAAGGAAGACGGCCCUAUGGGUUGUAAACUUCUUUUGCCGCAGAGUAAACACGGGGACGUGUCCCCGUUUGAGAGUAUGCGGCGAAUAAGUAUCGGCUAACUCCGUGCCAGCCGCCGC
rnacentral:rRNA from 1 species